CCUCUAUCGCUGUAGAAUCAACUCUUCCAGAUGAUCAGUCCCAGCCACCGAUAAAAGCUUGAUAGAGUUUGGGUUUCAACACAGAGAGAGAGAGAGAGAGAGAGAGAGAGAGCACUUGCUUAAAAGAAAACAAGUGGAAGAUUCUUUCUCUGCUAUUUGAACGAUCUGUAAAUUCUGAUGCCCCGAAUCGUCACAAGCAGGUUUAGAAUGCCUUUGUGCAGAGGAAGAGGAGGAGGACGAAGACGUAGAGGGCGAUGAUGUUGACGUUAUUCAGAUUGAAGUGACUAAAGACUAAGAAGAAGACGUUGAAGUUGCUGUGAAGCUUAAAACUUGGCAAUUUCGAAGAUUGGCUUCAGCUUUAAAGCCCGGUUGCCGCAAAAUCAGUCUUAUUGUAUACACCAUGCAUUAUAUGGAAGUCAUACUUUCAACUGAUUUUGCGUACUGAAAGUGACUUAUAUGCAUGGGAACAAUGACUGGUGGCUGGGUCUAUUAUUCAAAUCUCCAAAAAUGCAAUGUGUUGGUGCAUUUCAAAAUCUACCAAUGGUAAUGCCAUACGUUGACAUUCUGUAUUCAGCACUAAGGAAGGCUAAGAAAAUUGCACCAACAAAAGGUGUUGGGAAAGGUGGAUGCUUUGAGGAAAAAGUUGUGUCUGUUGGAAAGGAACAUGCAUCUAUUUGUGCCAAGGUUGAUAUCUUGGUUGUUGAGUACUUAUGAUACAAUAUCAACGAUUUCAGAGGUGAAUAUUGUGCAAGUUAACAUGACAUUUUAGUCAUGAAUUUUGGUCUGAAAUAAUCGGUAUGUUGUUUUGCAUGUUUUAGGAGAAAUAUUGGUUUUGGUUGGGAGAUAUUAGAUUUUUGUAAUGUCAAGAAACUGCCGUGCUUUAUUAAUUGAAUUGUGUCAGAUUAAAAGAUUCUAUCCUUGGGUUAAUAAUAUUUUCUUCAUCUUCUAAAGUUCU